UGAAAAUAUCUUUUAAUCAGGAAUAUUGGUUUGCUUGUCUUCAUAGUAACAGAAUUAAUUUGCCUAUAAAUAUAUGGUUUAUAGCACUAUGUACCAUAACAAUUCAUGUUAAAUUUUAAUCUGACGAUUAUUAAUUUAAUUUUUGAACGUUACUUUGUUAUUUUAAGAUGAUUACAAAACAGAGAAACAAUUCGUAGCCUAUAAGAGAAUUAAUUCUCAAUUUUUAUACUAUUUUCAUCAUCACAACUACACAGAAGUUAACACCAUCAAGAAGACAAAAUAUGAUCCUUUACACAAUGCAUGUUACAUAGAUAAAUGGUCCACACAUACCACAGGUCAUUAACAACAGUUGAUGUUUAUCACUAGGAUUGCAUGGACAUUACAGUUUAAAACAUUAAGUCUUCGGAUGCUAUGUGUUACAAAACCGUUGGAACUAUCGGCCUUCUUUCACUCACAGCAGUAUCAGAAGUCCCGAAGAAGCCUGAAGGUGCCUUUUUUGCAUUGAAAAUGAAAACAGUGUGUUAUUGCUAAAGGAAGACUUUCUUACUGAUUGGUCAACAAAUGAGAGAGAUUGGGAAUUUAAUUUGGACUGUAGCGAUGACGACUUGCGAUGUCUGUAUUGGGAUCCUUUGUGCGUUUACUUUGUUUUUCACACAUGUGAACUACGGAGGGUCACAUUCUGCAACUAAUUCAGGUUUUCUGAUAGUCAAAGAUGAUUAUAGUUAAAUAUGCGGACAAAAAACUGUUAGUUUUACUUGGGAAGAUUGUGAUGAAAGUAUAAAAAUGUAAUAAAGCAAUAAUAGUCAAGAAGAUAGAUGCUUGUUAAUCAAAAAUAGCGAUUGAUA